GCACAUUAUUUCUCCAUAUCUUGUUCUAUUUAUCACUAGGUCGGUAGAUUCCUAUUGGAGGUGAGGACGGUGGCAUGGCCAAGCUAGGCGAAACCCCAUAUAACCAUCAUAAACACAUGCCAUCCAAGGUACACUGUAGUACUCUGAAGGAGCGACCAGUAAUGCUAUUGAAAAACCAUAGAAGAUUGUGCUGUCCUCUUUCCUCGACUGGAGGGAGUCGUAUGAGAGACUAUACGGCCACUCUCAUCACUCUGGGAGUCUUUAGAGAAAUGAGAAGCAGUGUACUGACAACGUAAGGAACGUUUUUCCUCUCUUUUUCUUAUACGUGCGGAGAGUGUGCUUUUGUGUUGUUGUGGUGCAUGGCGCAUUUUGAGGGAGUGUAAGUUGAUAAGUUGACAAAUUGGCAACGACUGAUCAAUCAAGAGGAGAGUCACCCUAGUGAUUACUAUGGGUGGCCAAUCGCCCUCAUUGGUCGACAGUAUUGCAAUGAGCCGGGGGCUCUAAAAACAUCUUCGCUAGGGAAGUCCAAAGGAGGGAUGACUGGACUUUUUUGGAAACUUUAGAAAGCCAUUUUGAAUGCAUCGUCGUCUUGAAUUAA
rnacentral:sRNA from 1 species